GAAUAUUGGACAAUGGGGGCAACCCUGAUCCAGCCAUGCCGCGUGUGUGAAGAAGGCCUUUUGGUUGUAAAGCACUUUAAGCAGUGAAGAAGACUCCACGGUUAAUACCCAUGGACGAUGACAUUAGCUGCGGAAUGAGCACCGGCGAACUCUCUUCCAUCAGCCGCGGUAAUACAGAGGGUGCAAGCGUUAAUCGGAAUUACUGGGCGUAAAGCGAGCGUAGGUGGCUUGAUAAGUCAGAUGUGAAAUCCCCGGGCUUAACCUGGGAACUGCAUCUGAUACUGUUAGGCUAGAAUAGGUGAGAGCAAGGUAGAAUUCCAGGUGUAGCGGUGAAAUGCGUAGAGAUCUGGAGGAAUACCGAUGGCGAAGGCAGCCUUCUGGCAUCAUAUUGACACUGAGGUUCGAAAGCGUGGGUAGCAAAC
rnacentral:rRNA from 1 species